GGCCCAGUGGCGAAGUGGUAUCGCAUUCGCUCACUUGUGUACUGAUAUUGACAAGAUUCUAGAAGACACCCGUUCGAUUCGGGUUUGGGCCA